AUUUAUAAUUCAAAUCAUAAAAGACAACCUUCACUAAGAUACCUAGAUCCAUUUUGCAUUAUUGCAUAUAUACAAAAACUACAACGUAUUAAGUAUACGUUUGGUUGGACGUUGAAGCAUGAUAAACGUACGUUGCAACUUCCCAAACGUGAUUUUUUACUUUUACAUAAUGUUUGGCAAAAUGAUAGAGAAUUAAUUUUACUCUCCAAACGCAAGUCUAGAUGAAGCUGCUAUUUGGAGCUUUCACGUUGGUGAAAUCGAUUUUGAAGCAAUUGAAGACAACAAAUAAUGGACUAUUUGUUUUUGCCACCCGGCCC
rnacentral:lncRNA from 1 species